CUCGGCCAGGGCGCCCAGUGGCGAGGACAGCUGCCGCUUCCUCCGCAGGCCUUGGGGAGCCGGCUUUGAGGAGCACCGGACCUUUCUUCUCUGUUCCCUCCCUGGGAGAGGGCUGAGAGCCGAGGGCUUCGACAUGCUUUCCUCGGCGGGUUAGGCCGUGGGGCGCUCCCGCCCCAGGUUUUCUAGGGGUCACCCAUACACAGUUCCAGAAUUUGAAAAGUUUCCGCGGGGAGGUUCCCAUGGGAGCAGGGCCUGUGCUGGUUCCACCAGGUGCCUUUGGGCGCAUCAGAAAAGGGCACAUCUUGGCCAGGCGCCAUGGCUCACGCCUGUAAUCCCAGCAUUUUGGGAGGCUGAGGCGGCCGAUCACCUGAGGUCAGGAGUUCGAAAUCAGCCUGGCCAACACGGUGAAACCCCGUCUCUACAAAAAUUAGCCGGGCAUGGUGGCACGCACCUGUAAUCUCAGCUAUUCCGGAGGCUGAGGUAGGAGAAUCGCUUGAACCCGGGAGGCGGAGGUUGCAGUGAGCCGAGGUCGCGCUAUUGCACUCCAGCAUGGGCGACAGAGCAAGACUCUGUCUCAAA
rnacentral:lncRNA from 10 species